UGUUUUGAACUCAUUUGAGGGAGGAGCAGCUCAAGCUAUCAUAGGAGUUAGCUAGCUAGCUAGCGAGUUAAUGUCAUCUUAUAUUUGCCAUCACAUGAGCUAUAUUCAUCAACAGUGUAUGUAUCUCAUUAAUAUACAUUUAUCUAGGUGUAUAUCAGAUGUCAACGAUAUUGGCAGUGUUUAGGAUGUUCAAUCAAACAUGUACUGCUAGCUCUUGCCAGGCUUAAUCUAACGUUAGCUCGCUGACUGAGGUGGACAUUAGCACUAGUAGCUAGCUACAUGAAAACAGUACUGUUUUAUAAAUGUGACAUAGUGGUGAGUCUGACAGCGACUAAGUGCAGAGUCUUAGUCCGUGAGAUAUCGGUUUAUAUUGGAGGAAACAGCCAAAGGUGAACUUAACCUUCUAGGUGUAAGGGAUGCAAGCUAGCAUUGCUGUGCCUGUGCACGUUAGUAAAAGUGACAUCUCAGCCAAAGAUGGAGCACAAUGUGCGCUCUGCUCUAAGAUCUUUGUUGAAAGAUGGCCUAUUGGUCUUUAUGAGAAAACACCAUGUUGAAGUGAGGAGACGUCUGUGAUAAAAAUAUACUUAUAUUGUAUUAAUAUUAUAUUUAGGAUGUUAAGUGUUCACCACACUGCAAUUAGGCUGUGCCUUAUUUUGCCUCACUAGAAUAGGAAUGGUUAGGUGUGGAAUUGUUUGUUGAUGAGUGUAAGUAAUGAUGGCAAAAUAAACUCAUUUUUCAUAAACUCACUAUCAACUAUGCACUUUUGCAAUGUUAUUUUUUCAGAAACACUGUUGAAGUAUUUUGGAGCACAACCAACUGUACCUGCCCCCGAUGUGUCAUCAAGUGUCAGUGCCUCCACAGCUGAUGAUACAGCAGGUUCACCCCCAGCAGACUUACAGUCACCUGAAAGUGAGGAAGAACUUUUACCCAUUGAGGAACAGUUACCAGCAUUGACAGUCACUGAUACACCGACUUCAACCUCUGCCGGCAUAACAGGUCCUUCUACAGCAUCCACUGCUAUGGAUGUCCCAUCCACUCCCUCAACAAGCACCAGCUAUCAAGGUGGAUCAACAGCUCCUCCAAUUGACCCAGCUGAAUGGUCAGCAUUCCUGUCUGACUCAGAAAGGACUGAUCUGGUAAGAAGAGGGCCAGUGCAAAUUAGUGACACCUUCACCUUCCCCAAAAAAUCUGAUGGUCGAAGCUUUCAUUACCAUUAUACGUAUACAAAUCUGUUGAAAGAUCUGUUUAUUAAACUGAUACUUUAAAAAAAAAUACAAAUGCUGUUGUAUUUAAUUAUUUUACAAUUUAACUUCAGUAAACCACACUUGAUGCUUUACUUUGAAUAUGAAAGUUUAAAAUAAAUCUGUGAUCUAAGUGCCCUCUAAGGUUAAAAGGUGACUGUUUUGGUGUAAAUAACGACUAUAAUAAUACAGGGGUCUAUCAAGGGACAAAAGUCUAGAAUAUUUUUGGCAUGAGAGCAACUGAAUGAGCCUUCCAGGCCCAAGAGGUCAAGGGGCACUGAAGCCCAAGCCCAAGUCACCAUCUCAAUAAGUCAAAAAGCAAAAUGCUAUGAAUAUGCUUAAA